rnacentral:rRNA from 1 species
AGUGAACGCUGGCGGUAGGCCUAACACAUGCAAGUCGAACGGCAGCACAGUAAGAGCUUGCUCUUACGGGUGGCGAGUGGCGGACGGGUGAGGAAUACAUCGGAAUCUACUUUUUCGUGGGGGCUAACGUAGGGAAACUUACGCUAAUACCGCAUACGACCUACGGGUGAAAGCAGGGGAUCUUCGGACCUUUCGCGAUUGAAUGAGCCGAUGUCGGAUUAGCUAGUUGGCGGGGUAAAGGCCCACCAAGGCGACGAUCCGUAGCUGGUCUGAGAGGAUGAUCAGCCACACUGGAACUGAGAAACGGUCCAGACUCCUACGGGAGGCAGCAGUGGGGAAUAUUGGACAAUGGGGGAAAGCCUGAUACAGCAAUACCGCGUGGGGGAAGAAGGCCUUCGGGUUGUAGAGCCCUUUUGUUGGGAAAGAAAAGAAGCAGGUUAAUACCCCGCUGUUCUGACGGUACCCAAAGAAUAAGCACCGGCUAACUUCGUG